UGGACAAACGCUGCACAGCUAUGGAGAAUGAACCCAACACAACAACAUGUUCUGCUUCCACAACGACCAUCACCACCACCUCCACUUCCCGCACACCACUGCCGCAGAUCUCCGUCUACAGCGGCUCUGACAGACAUGCUGUCCAGGUUAUUCAGCAGGCCUUGCAUCGUCCUCCUAGCUCAGCUGCUCAGUACCUCCAGCAGAUGUAUGCAGCCCAACAGCAGCAUCUAAUGCUGCAGACUGCUGCUCUGCAGCAGCAGCACUUAAGCAGUACCCAAUUUCAGAGUCUGGCAACUGUUCCACAGGCAAGCCUGUCAGGUGGGAGGCAAUGUACUUCCCCCACUGGGAGUGUCACUCAGCAGUCAAGCAUGUCGCAGACCUCGAUUAACCUCUCCACCUCUCCUACACCUGCACAGAUAAUAAGCCGUUCUCAGACCUCCAACACCACCAGCAGCAGCAUCACCCAACAGACGAUGUUGCUGGGCAGCACCUCGCCCACCCUGAGUGCAAGCCAGGCUCAAAUGUAUCUACGAGCUCAGAUGCUUAUUUUUACUCCUGCGACAACUGUGGCUGCUGUCCAGUCUGACAUUCCUGUUGUCUCCUCAUCGUCCUCAUCUUCCUGUCAGUCUGCAGCUACUCAGGUUCAGAACUUGACGUUGCGCAGUCAGAAGCUGGGUGUGUUGUCAAGUUCACAGAAUGGCCCACCAAAGAGCAGCAGUCAAACUCAGUCCCUGUGCCCCAGUAAAGCUGUCAGCAGCUCCAAGGGCAGCCAGCCAGAUCCCUCAGAAAGCAAUAGGAAAGGCGAGAGCCCCGCUCCGGAGUGUCGGAGCACGCCGGUCACACGGACAUCCAGCAUACACCACUUAAUUACACCAGCUUCAUAUUCUCCAUUACAACCUCAUUCUCUAGUAAAACAUCAGCAGAUCCCACUCCAUUCGACAUCUCCAAAGAUUUCCCAUCAUCAGCUGAUCCUGCAGCAGCAACAGCAAGUCCAGCCGAUUGCACUCCAAACUCCUCCGGGCCAGGAACCGCCUCCAUCCCAGCACUGUCUGCCCCUCCCCAGCCAUGCGCUGCCUCCCGCUCCCAGCAGCGUCCAGUCCCACUGCUCCCCUAUCCACAUCCAUCCUCCGCCUCUCACGCUCUCUCCUACCCCAUCCCAGUCAGCUCAGCAGUCAGUGGUGGUGUCCCCUCCGCCGUCCCACUCCCCGAGUCAGUCACCCACCAUAAUUAUUCACCCUCAAGCCCUUAUCCAGUCCCCGGCCAGCUCCCUGGUGCCGGCGGCUCUACAGCCCGAGCCGGCCGCUCCCCAGGCGGCUGCUGCCAACCCCGUGCGGCCAUCGCAGCCUCUCAGCCUCCCGCCGCACCUGCCGCUCCCUCCCUCCUCCGCCGUGCACAUCGGGGCCGUGGAGCCGCCCAGCUUGGUUUCCCCGGGCCAGCAGCUCGUGUCCUCCACGCCACACCAGCAGUAUCCAGCCCUGCAAUCCGCUCCCAUCCCUCUGGCAGCUCCGCCUCAACUCUCUGCCUCCUCAACCCAGAUCCAACCGCUGCCCCUGCAGUCUGUGCAGUCUUUACAAGUGCAGCCUGAAAUUCUGUCCCAGGGCCAGGUUUUGGUUCAAAACGCUUUGGUUUCUGAGGAAGAACUUCCUGCUGCAGAGGCUUUGGUCCAGCUGCCAUUUCAAACUCUUCCUCCGCCACAGACUGUCGCAGUAAACCUGCAGGUGCAGCCGUCAGUUCCGAUUGAAACUCCAGUGAUUUACCAAGUGGAGAAUGUGUGUGAAGAGGAGAUGCCCGAGGACUCAGAUUGUGUCCACAUGGCAAGAACACCGACACCACCCACCUUGUCCCCACCAGCCAUAACCUUGGGCAACGGAGAUGCUCUUAAUUCAGAAGAUCCUUUGUCAGAACAUGGGGGACUGCCUUCAGUGACAUCAUCAGUCAGUGCCUCAGUAAUUAAAUCUCCAUCUGAUCCUUCCCAUGCCUCUAUUCCACCACCACCUCUUUUGCUUCCAGCAGCAACGACAAGGAGCAACAGCACAUCCAUGCCCAAUAGCAUCCCCAGCCUAGAAAAUAAACCUCCACAAGCUAUUGUUAAACCCCAGAUCCUGACCCACGUCAUCGAAGGCUUUGUGAUUCAGGAGGGGUUGGAGCCAUUCCCUGUCAGUCGUUCAUCUUUGCUGGUAGAACAGCCUGCAGAGAAGAGAUUGCUGGUGGAGGGUCAGAUAAUGAGUGUGGUGUGUGUUGAGUCAGACUUGCAGAACACAAAACAUGCAGACAACUCAUCAGACACAGAGAUAGAGGAUAUGAUUGCAGAAGAGGGACUGGAUGAAAUUGAAAAUGAUCUUCUGAAGUGUGAAUUUUGUGGAAAAAUGGGAUAUCCCAAUAAGUUUCUGCGGUCAAAAAGAUUCUGCUCCACAUCCUGUGCCAAAAGGCACAGCCUUAGUUGCACUAAGAAAUUUGGGCUGUUUCCAUCAGACAAGACCAGUCGUUGGAAUCGGAAGUCAGAUAGCCAAAGUCUUGGGCGACGCGGGCGUCGGCCGAGCGGCCCUGAGGGGGCGUCACGGGAUCAUUUUCUUAGACAGCUUCCAAUUACUUAUCCAUCUGCAGAAGAAGAUCUGGCUCCUCAUGAAGACGCUGUUCCAACGGCAAUGACCACGCGCCUGCGGAGGCAGAGUGAGAGGGAGAGGGAGCGGGAGCUUCGGGAGCUGAGGAUGCGGAAAAUGCCAGAGAGCAUCGACCUGUUACCAGUGGUGCAAACUGACCCCUCAGUAUGGACUGUCGAUGAAGUUUGGGCCUUUAUACAUUCUCUGCCUGGUUGUCAAGAUAUUGCAGAUGAAUUUAGAGCACAAGAAAUUGAUGGACAAGCUCUCCUCUUGUUGAAGGAGGAUCACCUUAUGAGUGCAAUGAAUAUUAAGCUUGGACCUGCAUUGAAAAUCUGUGCACGUAUCAAUUCCUUGAAAGAAUCCUAGGAGGUGAACAUGAAGGUUUAAACAACAGUUUCUCAGUGACGGAACCGACAGUAAUAUGCCAACAUCUUCACCGUGGCAUGAGUGUUACUGUGAUGUUUUGUUAAGUAGGUGGGGCUCUCCUCACAUAAAGACUUUAAACUAUUCCUUUGAUUAUACCAGGAGUCCUCUGUAGUUUUCAACAACUAAUAGGUUUAUAGUAAAACCUGAGUAAUGCUUUGAGUUGAAAUUUUUCAUGGAAAAACAUGAAGUGAAAUAUGCUGUGAUAGGUUAGGUAUUCCCCAACAUGUACUUCAUCUUAUGAGUUAUGAUUAAUAUCCCAGUCCCCACCCCAAUCUAGACACCAUUUAAAUUGUGUUGCUGUAUUCUGAAAGACUUUUCCCACAUACAGCAGUGUUUGGACUGAACUAACAGAAGUGUCCACAGGCCCUGUGGAAGCACUAGUACCAGUAAAAUGCUAUGCAUUUAGUUGUGCUCUCUGAGUUUGUUUUAGUCUUGAGCAAAUUGUUUGUAAGGGGUAGGUUGGCAGCUGGUUUUCCUCAUGUAGGCUUAUCCUCAUCUCUGCCACUAUAGUAUUUUCUUGAAGUCUGUAAAAUACCAUAACCCAUGUAGAUGUCUCAUCAAAAUCCUCGUGAUCAGGCUACUGACACUCCUGCCAGAGGUAACUGAAGCACAUGUUACUUUACUCUGAAUGCUGCUAUGCACUAAGGGGGCAUUAAGUGUUAGGUUUGUAGUUUCACAUGCUGCUAGUUAAGCUAGACCAGCAGUUCUCAAAUGGGGGUUCAGAGUGGACCCUGAGGAAGUGUGUGAGCACUUGGGGUCAGGUUCCCAAAUGCCUUGGUGUGAGGGCCUGAAAACUGCAGCCAGGACCAGCUCAUGUUAAGACAAGUUGCUUUAGAGACUGGGGGUAAAGAAGGGACAGCAUAGCCCAGAUGUUCUUUUUCCUGAUACCUCUUCUAACAUGUCUUUCCCUGUAGCGCAUUCUCGUUGCCUCACUGGAAGCUUCCAAGCACCUUUUCCUUAUCCAGGGGCCAGUGUGAGCUGUGCUGGCUGUUCUCUGAGGAAGGAACAGUGAGGCCACCCUCAGAGCUUGUGCAGGAGUAGCUGCUGCUGCCAUGAGGGAGCCUGGAGCUGCAGGUCAGCAGGAGGAAUGCCAGCGUUGGCAACUCUGGGAGAAUUAUGCAGUGGCCCUGAUUUGUCCCUCUGGCAAGAGAUUUUGUCUUGGAUGCUGCAGACCCCAGUGGUGGGAUUUUAGUGUCCCACUCCAUCUUCCCUCUCACACUCUGUGGAGCAAAUACAUUUCUCCAGUUACUGAUGCUCUUGGAAGCUGCCUGGGCUUUGAGGCAGCAGCACCUUCUUGGCCUUUGGUUCCCCACCACCUGUGCAUGGAUGCUCAUGGAUGCAUUUUGUACUUCUGUUCCCUCCCUUUUGUAGCUCCACUCCCCUUAUGUAGAGACCUGGAUUCCUAAGCUCCUGUUUAGGGAAAGAAGGGUACAUGUGCUGAUAGUCAUUGUGUAUAUUUGAAUUAAAUAUGUGUAUGUGUCUGCAAAUAAUGUAUUUUUUGUAUUUUAUGCAAAUUAAUGCAUAAUAUAUGAUUGUGUAGGGAGGUAUUCAGGGGCCUGUACAGUAUUCCUAAGGAGAAAAGGAACUGACCUAAAGUUUGAGAACUGCUGCCCUAGAUCAAAAGGAGUCAAUGCACAUACACUGGCUGAAAGGCAGGUUUGUGACAGACAGAUUAAUACGUAUAUUAUUUAACUAAUGACCUUAAAGAGUAAAUUUGGAUUACAGAAAAAUCUGUGCUUCAUUUUCCUUUAAUUAGACUAUUGCUUUGUUUCCACUAACAGAUUUUCUACCAUUACCUUCUGGAGAUCAACGUUAGAAUCAUUGUUCUUAAUUACAACUGUUUGAGCUUGCUAAUAGCAGAUGUUAUUAAUGUUUUUAUUAACCACUGAAGCUGCAAGUUAGGACAACACACUGCAGUUGCACGCUGACAGCUUUCAGGAGAGCUUCUCCAGCUAGUGUUUGUGUCCAGCUCAGCCAUAAUCACUGCCAGGUGCCAGGAGCUCAGAGCAGACCCCACUAAGGCACAUCUGGUCCCGUUUGUCUGGUAUGUAACAUUCCCUGUGGGUUUGGGAGAGCCACAGAUAAUGAGUUAUGCUUUAAAUAUUCAUGAAUGCAAAAGCUUAGAAUGUGGACCUUAUGCAUAUUGAAAGUUUUUUUUUCUUCGUCGGUGAUUUUGGCAAUUAACUGGAACUUAAAAGCAGAGGCAGCUAUACUGACCUGUACUGAUAGAAGUGCACUUGUAUGGGAGUGUUUGCCAGUGUAGCUGUGUCAAUAAAAUCAAUCUUUUAAAAAAAUUCACACUUGUAUGUGAAAGUAGGCUGAAAAAUUUCCAAGUGCAACUGAAGUCUACUUGGGAAGCUUAUGAAUUUGCUCAGAAAAGCAAUAUAAUACUUAGAGUAACAUUUCUCCAGAACCAUUUUACAUACUGGCCACUUGCUGUUCAAUAGGUGAGGUCUUCCCAGGCUUAUCCUACCAUUUCCCAUGGCUUUCCCACACGUUAGGCUGUACCCCCUUGCAAAAGAAGUAUUAAAGAUUUUAAUUGUAUUUUAACACUUGUAAUGCUUGCAGUAUUUCAGCUUCUAUAGGAAUAGCUCAGAAGGGAGAUACAUUCCACGGCUUUUUCCCUUCCUUUUUCUUCACCACUUUCCAUCCUACCCUACUCCUUAGCAGAAACUGCAGCAUUAGCUCAGGGCAAGGCCCUUUUGCAGAGCACUGGGCUAAAGGUGGCUGUCAAGAUUUCAUCCAGUAGACUAGAACUGUGACACUUGUCUCAGC